UACGAAGGGGGCUAGCGUUGCUCGGAAUUACUGGGCGUAAAGGGCGCGUAGGCGGCACUGUUAGUCAGGCGUGAAAGUCCUGGGCUCAACCUGGGAACUGCGCUUGAUACGGCAGAGCUAGAGGAUGGAAGAGGGUCGCAGAAUUCCCAGUGUAGAGGUGAAAAUUCGUAGAUAUUGGGAAGAACACCGGUGGCGAAGGCGGCGACCUGGUCCAUUACUGACGCUGAGGCGCGACAGCGUGGGGAGCAAACAGG
rnacentral:rRNA from 1 species